CAGUGUCCCCGGGUCUCUCAGUGUCCCCAUGUCUCUCAGUGUUCUAGUGACAUAGAACACAUUUAGACAUGGGGACAUUGGGAGACUAGGGGACAUU